rnacentral:ncRNA from 2 species
CGAUGGGGUAGAGGUCGCGGUUAUUAAGAGUAAGACGGACGAGAUCCAGAGAGAUUGAUAACUCCAUCUGAAAGGAAUAACUGCCGAAGCUUGUACACAUCUCUGUGUGUAUCGGCUGGGGCUGUAUCCAAAUAGGAGCAGAACUGUCACGUUUAUUGAUUCCAAAUGAACGUGUUGUGCUAUCUUCGGA